UCUCCGAGUCACUUGAGGGUUGCUCAGCCA
rnacentral:ribozyme from 1 species